UGUUGAGGAAGAUAAUGACGGUACUCAACAAGGAAGUGACGGCUAACUACGUGCCAGCAGCCGCGGUAAAACGUAGGUCACAAGCGUUGUCCGGAAUUACUGGGUGUAAAGGGAGCGCAGGCGGGCGAUCAAGUUGGAAGUGAAAUCCAUGGGCUCAACCCAUGAACUGCUUUCAAAACUGAUUGUCUUGAGUAGUGCAGAGGUAGGCGGAAUUCCCGGUGUAGCGGUGGAAUGCGUAGAUAUCGGGAGGAACACCAGUGGCGAAGGCGGCCUACUGGGCACCAACUGACGCUGAGGCUCGAAAGUGUGGGUAGCAAACAGGAUUAGAUACCCUGGUAGUCCACACCGUAAACGAUGAUUACUAGGUGUUGGAGGAUUGACCCCUUCAGUGCCGCAGUUAACACAAUAAGUAAUCCACCUGGGGAGUACGACCGCAAGGUUGAAACUCAAAGGAAUUGACGGGGGCCCGCACAAGCAGUGGAGUAUGUGGUUUAAUUCGACGCAACGCGAAGAACCUUACCAAGUCUUGACAUCCUGCGACGAUGCUAGAAAUAGUAUUUUCCUUCGGGACGCAGAGACAGGUGGUGCAUGGUUGUCGUCAGCUCGUGUCGUGAGAUGUUGGGUUAAGUCCCGCAACGAGCGCAACCCUUAUGGUCAGUUACUACGCAAGAGGACUCUGGCCAGACUGC
rnacentral:rRNA from 1 species